rnacentral:lncRNA from 1 species
CGCACGCCACUUCCCUCAGCCUGUAGAACUUCCGGCAGCAACUGCAAUUAGGGGUAGUCCAGUGCUAAAUUGUCGCAGCCUUGAAAAUAUUCUGCUUCGUUAUUUCGGGCACUCCACAGAUUCUGUUGCGAAGGCAGCCAUCUUUAGUUCGUCUUUCCUAGAGAGCGUUGAGAAGAUUCUGCUCCAUUUUUUCUGAUUAUGGAUUCUGUUCAGAAGGAAGCCGAAUUUUAAGUCAUCGUUCUAGGAUAGUAUUUUAGUAUGAAAAUUUCCAGACCUAUAGAAAAUUUGAAAUACUUGCACCAUGAAUAUCCAGAUUCAGCUCCAUUUUCUCUGGUGGUAGAUCUCCAUGGAUGCUAUUGAGAAGGUACUUCUCAAAGUCCACGAGGACAAGGACAUCUUUCCACCGAAUGCCACCUGGUUUAUAACAAAAGCAUGAAAAACAAACAGGAAUUUCUCAAUGCAGAAAGGACUGAAGCUGUCAAAGGUGUGCUUUUUUUCUGCACAAACAAGUUUCCAUUGAAUGAUAGAAUAAAGAGAUACUGACUUCCCCGGAGCCUCCAAACUUGAGUAGUCAGCUGCACUUCAAGGGAAGUUAUUGAAUAUGUCCUAUCCAACUAAAACAAGGAAAUGAUGAAAAAAAUAAAAUCACUUUCCAGAGGCCUCAGGGCUAACUGGAGACAGAGCUCAGACUGCAACUGAGAAAAGUUGGACUCCAAAACCUGUACUCUGAGCUUUACUGCAUGAGAAAGUUAUUGAAAUGUGCCUUGUGACAUUCAGAAUAAGUGACUUUUCAGAGGUCUCAGAGUCAGUAAGAGACAGAACUCAGAUUGUAACCAAGAAGAGCUGAACUCCAAACUUCUGUGUCCGGAAUUGGUGGGUUCUUGGUCUCACUGACUUCAAGAAUGAAGCGGCAGACCCUCGCGG